CUUCCAGUAGCACCUUAGAGACCAACUAAGUUUGUUAUUGGUAUGAGCUUUCGUAUCUGAAGAAGUAUGCAUGCACACGAAAGCUCAUACCAAUAACAAACUUAGUUGGUCUCUAAGGUGCUACUGGAAG